rnacentral:rRNA from 1 species
GACAGAGGGUGCAAACGUUGUUCGGAAUUACUGGGCGUAAAGCGAGUGUAGGCGGUCUUAAAAGUCAGGUGUGAAAGCCCCGGGCUCAACCCCGGGAAGUGCACUUGAAACUGCAAGGCUAGAGUACUGGAGAGGUUGGUGGAAGUUCUCGGUGUAGAGGUGAAAUUCGUAGAUAUCGAGAGGAACACCGGUGGCGAAGGCGGCCAACUGGACAGAUACUGACGCUGAGACUCGAAAGCGUGGGGAGCGAACAGGA